rnacentral:rRNA from 1 species
UGCGGAAUUUUAGAUAAUGGAGGGAACUCUGAUCUAGCGACGCCGCGUGCAGGAAGAAGGUCUUCGGAUUGUAAACUGCUGUGGUAAGGGAAAAAUGCUAUGUAGAGUGGAAAGCUACAUAGAGGGAUGGUACCUUACUAGAAAGCCCCGGCUAACUACGUGCCAGCAGCCGCGGUAAUACGUAGGGGGCGAGCGUUAUCCGGAAUCACUGGGCGUAAAGGGGGCGUAGGUGGCCUAACAUGUCAACUGUGAAAACCCGGAGCUCAACUCCGGACUUGCAGUUGAAACUGGUAGGCUUGAGGACGGUAGAGGAAGACGGAACUGCCAGUGUAGGGGUAAAAUCCUUAGAUAUUGGCAGGAACGCCGGUGACGAAGGUGGUCUUCUGGGCCGGUUCUGACACUGAUGCUCGAAAGCCAGGGGAGCGAACGG